UUGAAGGAAGUUAAGCAAAUUUUCAGAGAAACUCAGCUUGAAUAGAUCCGAAAAUGAGAACUGUCGUAUAAAUUCGUAUAGGUAAUUUUCAUUUCAGAAUUUGGCUUUUAUUCACUAGGCUCUUGUAUUACCCUUCACUUGCCAUCCUGGCAUCAAUCAUAUUAUGUGCUCUUCCUGGAUUGAUUGAUUUAAAUGAAGUAUUAAAAAAAAAAAAAAAAAAAGGUUGAACUCCAACCUUGAGGGCUCUCAUCGUCCCGUCCCUAGAAGUUUGUGAGGGAGGUAAAUCGCAGGAUGUGUCCCAACAGACCAGAAAACAAGAGCUGCAUGUAUACUGUGCCUACAAGGAGUCCUAUUCCAUGUCUCAAGAAUCGAACCCUCCACACUGUAGCUGCCAACAAGGCGUGAAAUAACUUCACUCUUGUCCUUUGCACCACUGGGCUAUGCUCAUGGGGCAUGGAAGAUGGAUAAACUUGAUUUUAUUGUUUGCCUUGGUGCCUUCUUUGGGGUCUUGUUUGGCUCCGUGGAAAUUGGAUUUCUUAUUGCAGUACAUAAAUUAAACAUAAGAUAAAUUUUAAAUUUUGGAUCAUUGGUUUUCAUCUUUGAUGGUAACCCUUCCUUUUCUUUUCUCUGUUAAUUCGUUUUCCUAUUUUUACACAUCUUCUCUUUUGUUUCUUUUAGCUAAUUUCAGGUAAUUUGUUUUAUUAUUUCUUCUCAGUCUCACUCUUUUCCUUCUAGCUUAAAUGUUUCUCUAACUGAAAGAAUGACUCAGGAUUAAAAAUAUACAAAUCCAUUUUCAGAUUUGACUAUGUGCCUUGUAAAAAUUAAUCAUAAUUAAACAUAUCCUUUCUAGGUGGAUUCAAAUCAUAGGAACUUGGUCUUAUCUGACUACUUGAGACUUGUCAUCUUCUUGUUCAUUUGUGAUGCUAAUGAAUAUUUCUAAUAUACUAGUCACCUGCCCGUGCAAUGUACGGGCUGUGUUAUUUUCAAGGUAAUAUUAGUGUAUUAAAUAUGUUGAAUUCUCAUUAAUUACAUUUCGAACUAAUAAUUGUUUGAACCGAUUUUCAACCAUCUAUCUCUGAAUAAAUGAAUUUGUAAUAAGAAAGCAAACUGAUGUAGAGAAAUUCAACUGAAUCAAAAUAGUAAGAUAUAAAACCAUAGAUAGAUAGAUGAAGCAAAAAUUAAAGAUUGACAUAUUUUAUAGAUGAUAUAUAUACUUCAAUCAUUUCUUAGAAUUCUUCUCAUAGUUCCGUAGGUCAAAGACGCUCAGCAUGAAUCUUGUUUUCAAAUAGUUCAUAUCUUUAAUUGGUGAUUGUGAGAACUUCUGUCCUAGCUGCAUCAACCAAUGUUUAAAUUUUCGAAACAUUAGAAAAUAGAGAUAUUCAACAAGAAACAUAUAUUAUUGCGAUGAUCUGAAAAGAAAUCCACUAUCCUUCUCAAGACCUUAUUUCCAUGCCAAAAAUUGGUACAACAUCAUUGAAUAAAAGUCUUCAAACUGAAGCAAAUUUUUUACAAGAUUUAGUAUGUUUCCAUCCUAGAUUAUACUUAGCAACCUUAGGGCAUAAAUUCAACCUUGUCAAUGGUUGGAAAAACAAUUGGUCUCAGUCAUUUUGUAGAAAUGAAAACACAAGCAUCAUUAGCACCUUCACAUGCUGCUCCAAUUGAUGUGAUUCGGCUUGGGCGCCAAACGAUCAAGGAUUUGAUGUAUGUUGGAGAGAACCUAAGGACAAGAUUUAAGCUUCGUUCGGGCCAACAAACCCGUAUAAAUGCAUGGUUGAGUUAUUGAUUUCGAAAUGGUGGAGUCAACGAGCCAAAGUCUAGGAUUUGUAUUGAGGUUGAUUGCUAAAAACCAAUUGAAUCAAGUUGUUGGAAGAAAAUCGAGUUUGGAGCAAAAACCAAGUAACCAUGCGAUCGCAUGGUUAAAACCACCGUGCGGCCGCAUGAAAGGGUGCAGGGAUUUCACGGGCAGCAGUACAUAUGCCAUGCGACCGCAGCCAAAUGCAUGUCGCGGUCGCAUAGGUGUUUUUCGACCAGAAAAUUUCUUUUCCGCGCGAGAAGAUUUGUUUUGAGUCAAUUUCUUAUUUUUGGUAACUUUAAUAUUAUUAGGACUCUAAUUUCAUGUUUUACAAUAUUUUAGGAGUUUAUUCCUUUUUAAAUUAAGUUUUAUAUUCUUUAGUAUAAAUAGGAGUUUUAUUAUUCAUUGGAACAAGACUUUUAUUAUGAAAUUAGAGAAUUCUCUCUUGAAGCUUUGCUUCAUUUAUCUUUGUUCUUGAAUGGACAAAUCCAAACUUAUCAAAACUAAUCAUCUUGUGGCGUUCAAAACAUCGGCUUGAAUCAUUGAAUUGUGUAAUCAAAGGGUCUUUCGCGUCAUCGUUACCGUUGGAUUUUCUGGUUCAUCUUUUAUUGGUUCAAAUCCACAAUCCGGGUGUGAUUUCUUCAAUCAUGUGAUCAAGAGGUCCUUCAAAGCAACAUUCUUGUUGGGUUGCUUGGUUCACUAUUUUGGGGUCAGAUCCAUAAACCUUGGUCAUAUUGGCGUUCUUAGGAUUGAUUCAAUAUCCUAUGGGUUCGAUUGCAAUCUUGCUGAUCGGGUUCGCAUCAUUUGGUAUCAGAGCUUAGACUCCAAUUCAAGGUUAUAUCCUUUUUUUUUAAUUUUUUGUUGAGUCAGUUUUCCUUUUCUUAUUGUUCUUCGUGUUUUUCGAGUCAGUUAAUAUUUUUUAGUCUUUGAUCCAAAAAAAUUUCAAAAAAAGUUCGAAAGUUGUUUUUGGAUUCAAUUUGUCCAAACCCACUUUUGUUUGUUGCGUUAGUUUUGUCUUUGAUUUUCCUAUCCCAAGAGUUUAAAAAAAAAAAUUCAAGUUCUUAUUAUUUGGGUAAAAAAAAAUUGUUAUUGUGUCGAAUUCCAAUUCAAGAACCACUUUCUUGAAUUCAUACUAAAGUUCCAAUCAAGGUAGUCUAGUCAGUCAGAAAUUCAAGACCACUUCUUGAAUUUUCAUAAUUCAUUCCAAAUUUUCUGUCAAAUUCUUGAGUCUUUGAAAAUUCUCAAGUUUCACCCACAACCCAAUUGAAUUAUGUCUGAAACAAUGAUGCAGCGAUUGGAGAAAAUGUUGGUGAAUAUGGAAGAUAGGUUGGGAAAUAAGUUGGAUAUGAUUGAUGUGAAAUUGAAGGAGAUUCAUCGAGAUCAAUGUGAUGAGGUGCUCAAUGUUAGACGACAGGAACCUAGAAUUAAAAUGUGUGAUGUCUAUGGAUAUGGUGGUGGUAUUGAUGAGGUACGGGGAUUAAAGAAUAAAAAUGAUCGAUCCGAAGAAAAGGAUAGAAAUCAUUUUGGAGGUGUUGGCGGGAAUGUGGAAAAUGGCAAAAUAUCACUUCCGCGAUUUAAGGGUAGGGACGAUCCCGAGGCAUACUUGGCAUGGGAAGAACAGGUAGAAUUAGUGUUUGAUUGCCAUGACUACUCCGAUGAGAGAAAAUUAAAGUUAGUUAUGUACACUUUUGUGGGUUAUGCAACUACUUGGUAUGAUCAGUUGACAAAAUCUAGGCGGAAGAAUGGAGAUAGGCGUAUUGAAACUUGGGAUGAAUUGAGAACUAUAAUGAGAAAGCGAUAUGCGCCUAAUUAUUUUUAUAAACCGGAUCAGCGUGAGCGAGAAUUUAGGGAGAAGCCUAGUAGACAUUAUGGAGAUGGGUAUCUAAUGGAAAAGAGCGAGACAAAUUUUCCACAAAAAGAGAGCUCUAGAGAAAAUAGUGAGGUGGUCAGUUGUGAGGAAAAAGUAGAUGAGCCACAAGAAAAUAAAAAGGAGAUCGAGAGUAAAAAUGAGAAUAAAGAAGUGAUUAAAUUAGAAGUGGAAAAUGGAGUAGGGUCUUCGGAGGUAAAUGAAGUAAUGGAAGUGAGCUUGCAUGAAAAUGAAAGAGGAGUUGAGGAGGUUUUAUCAGAAGCUAAUAAUUCCCUCCCUAUUUUGGACAUUCCAUUUUUGUAGGUUAUCGAAGAUUUGGUCCAUGACGACGAGCCAAUUGGGAUUCCUUACAACCCUGGCAUUGAUAAUCAAUUGGUGGAUAACGCUCAACAACAACAUCUUGGUUUGGAAUUCUCUUCAAAAACGAACGUUGAAUUUGUGAUCCCUGAGGAAGUGACGGAGUAUCAAAGGCCAUGGAAGCAAUUUAUUUGCAAGGAGCUGAAAUACUAAAGUGAUAUGCCAUUAAAAAUGCAUCCCAUUGGAGUGACAAUGCUACAGUUGCCUAGGCUGAGUAUGAGUAACGCAAGAAAAAAGAUUGGGGAUUUAUCAGCUGAAUUUAUUUUUGGAACAUCACAAGCUUGUAAAAAGAAACCAUCCAAGCGUAAGCACUUCAAUCUUUGUGAAGGAGAUUGGGUUUUUAUAUGCAAGAGGAGGAUUCAGAUUCAAAAGAGAUCCAAGUAUCAUCCAAGAGGUGGUGGACUAUUUCACGUGCUUGCAAUGAUCGGAAGCAAAGGCUACAAAUUGGUUGAUCAAUGUUUGGAUUCAAGGUCGAAUCAUUUCGAAGAGAGAGGGGAUGAUGUGAUUCGGCUUGGGCGCCAAACGACCAAGGAUUUGAUGUAUGUUGGAGGGAACCUAAGGACAAGAUUCAAGCUUCGUUCGGGUCAACAAACCCGUAUAAAUGCAUGGUCGAGUUAUGGAUUUCGAUAUGGUGGAGUCAACGAGCCAAAGUCCAGGAUUUGUAUUGAGGUUGAUUGCUAAAAACCAAUUGAAUCAAGUUGUUGGAAGAAAAUCGAGUUUGGAGCAAAAACCAAGGAACCAUGCGACCGCAUGGUUAAAACCACCGUGCGGCCGCAUGAGAGGGUGCAGGGAUUUCACGGGCAGCAGUUCAUGUGCCAUGCGACCGCAGCCAAAUACAUGUCGCGAUCGCAUAGGUGUUUUUCGGACAGAAAAUUUUCUUUCUGCGCGAGAAGAUUUGUUUUUAGUCAAUUUCUUAUUUUUGGUAACUUUAAAUUAUUAGGACUCUAAUUUCAUGUUUUACAAUAUUUUAGGAGUUUAUUCCUUUUUAAAUUAGGUUUUAUAUUCUUAAGCAUAAAUAGGAGUUUUAUUAUUCAUUGGAACAAGACUUUUAUUAUGAAAUUAGAAAAUUCUCCUUUAAAGCUUUGCUUCAUUUAUCUUUGUUCUUGAAUGGACAAAUCCGAACUUAUCAAGACUAAUCAUCUUGUGGCGUUCAAAAUAUCGGCUUGAAUCAUUGAAUUGUGUAAUCAAAGGGUCUUUCGCGUCAUCGUUACCAUUGGGUUUUUUGGUUCAUUUUUUAUUGGUUCAAAUCCACAAUUCGGGUGUGAUUUCUUCAAUCGUGUGAUCAAGAGGUUCUUCACAGCAACGUUCUUGUUGGGUUGCUUGGUUCACUAUUUUGGGGUCAGAUCCAUAAACCUUGGUCAUAUUGGUGUUCUUGGGAUCGAUUCAAUAUCCUGUGGUUCGAUUGCAACCUUGCUGAUCGGGUUCGCAUCACCAAUGUUAUCCAUUAUAUUGUGGAACAUAAAAAUUGAAAUAAAAAGAAAUGAAAGAAAUAAAAAUAGCGAUCAACACAUAUUGAUAAUCCUAUUAUAAGAUAAGAAAAUUAAAUAUUUAAACAAAAUUUUAAAGUUAAUUACAAAGAAAAUUUAGUGUCAUAUUAGCUGCAUUUUGCCAUUUUCAGUAGUACGAUCAAAAUAAAAUUUUCCACUCAUCAGUGUUCAGUUUUAUCAACAAGGAAAAUAAAUAAAACAUCAUAUUGUUUUAACUCACCAUAUUGUUUCAACUGCUCAAGUCAUCCUGGAUGUUCUUCUAACCCGAAUAAAAGGUUGCAGAGGCUAUAGAUGCUCUUUCAACAUCUGAAAAUUGAAAACAAAAAAAAUAGCCAAAAGAUCUUUACCCGGAGAUUAAGGCUCUUAUACUAUAGCAGGGACCUAGAAUAAAAAUGAAAAUAAAUAUGAUUCUCAAUGCUUUAGUAGUUUGCUGCUAUAUACGAAAAUAAAAUAAAUAUAUUCAUGCCCCUCAGGAUGAUCAAGUAUGCCGUUUUAUGAUAAAAUGAAUUUAAACUUGCUUAACAUGAUACACACACAAGAUGCAAAAAGCUGAGAAUUAGUAUAAAUUACGAAGUCCUAAUUUUUGUGUUGGUGAUCUCAUUUGUUGUGUUCAAUCUUUAUUAUUUUUUAAUCGAAUAGACUUAUGGAUUAGAAGGUUAUUGAGUGAUUAUUGAAGAUUGCUAGCUACAAAGGUUUAGUGUUUUUAUUAAUAAUUCAAUAUUUUGAAUUGAAUUUUUUUAUUUGUAAAAAAUAUUUGACCUCUACUUUGAUUUCAAAUUUUAGUUUCUGCAUCUCUUCCUCUGAAAGAAACUUUUCUCAAAACUUCCUACAACGAAUUACGAAGAUAAUAUAUUAAGGUCCUACGAUUGGAUGUUUCCUUUACAAGAUGAAGUCAAAGUUUAGCCAAAAAUUUCCCACAUGCAAUAACAAUCAGUACUAAUAGGGCAUUCUUAUCUAAUUUCGAAAUACAACAUAAAAAAGUAUACCAUGGUUCAUGCAAAGCCAUAUAUUCUCAAAAUAGCAAAAACAUGGAAUAAACCAAUGCAUACAAGAAUUAAAAGGAAAAAUCUGAAAUUGAAACUAAAAGGUACCUGACUGGACAGUUAAGACGGUAUCACCCUCGGCGAUCAGAUUAUAAGCCAUCCACAAAUCACCUGCUCCUUCUGGGACCAUCUAUGGCAAAACCCAAACAUCAGAACAUAGAAGAAACAACAAAUUACUACUAUUUGAACCCAAAAGAAGUAAUGAAUUUGAAAUUGAUAUUUUCUUCCCUCUUGCCCUUUCAAGUGGAAUUUCAUUUUACACCGUCCGUGUGCAUCUUCUUAAGGUUUGAGAGAUCUCACGAUUGAACUUAGUACAAAACACUUCCUUUUCUUCCGAAGAAAGAAAGCCAAUUCAAAAAUAUUGAUCAGAAUCAGCAUCACAGGUAAAGGUGCAAGAUAUUAAAACAUUUAGAAUCAAGCAUCUACUGCCUUGCACAUUAAAAAUCUUUACCAUGUACAACCACAACUCUUUUUUCUUUUGCACAGCAUUGUAAACAAGAAAAAAACUGCACUGACAUAUAAAGUGGAAGAGUUGAAGUAAUUACCUCUACAAAAUUCGGAUCCAAAGUGGUGUUGAUUUCGGAAGCUUCUCCUUGAUUUAUCUUUACCUCAUUAACGUUCUAAUUAAACAAAACCAAAAUGUAAACAUAAAAAUGUAAAUGUAAAUUUCAAAUCGCCAUUUUCAUAAAAUUCAUGCAAUAAACUCGAAACGUAACUAAUUUAGCUUUAAAAAGUAUGAACUUUCAGAACCCAAUAGCAGUUACCCAAUAAAAGUAGCUAUUUUCACAAACCUAAAUAAAAACAGAUAUUAAAUGUAACAAAAAAGAAAAAAACAAGGAUAAAUGAAAGACAUGCGCAUUGACUAGGUAGUAAAUGAUUGAAGAACAGGAGUAUGAAUUAUUGAGAAAACAAUAUGAAGGUACUGUUAUACAACUCUAGUAGAAGAAAUUGUUUACCUGUCUAUGACUGGAUUGCCUUCUCACCUCAUACUGUAGUUGCCUUCUCAAGAUCUCUCCCCUUCGAAGGUUUCAAGAACUCAAAUUUUUUAGAAAGAGUACGAAAAUCUGGUAAGGUUUCGUUUGGUGUGGAGAGAUAAAGCACGCAUGAAGUGAGAGAGAGAGAGAGCAAUAACCACUUUAAGGGGAAUUUUAGUGAAUCACCUUAGUAAAUUAUUAUUCAAAUGGUUGAUAAACAUUUUGAUCGAUAUUAUUUUUUGGUCAACAAAAUGGAAAGAACCCAGUGAAAAAUGAUAGGUGAUUGUAUGCAGAAAUGGAGAAGCAGAGAGGCAUGACUGUAGCAUGUGAAAAUAGGGAAAAAAGUAAAUAGAAAAUGAUUGAAGAUAAUACGGCGUCGUUUUUACUCUCACGAUAAAAAAAAAGUAAAGAAAAUUUGCUACAGUGUGAUAUAUAUGCUAAAUAAUUGACAAAGUAAUAAAACUCUCAAUGUAUUUUGAUUCAAUAAUCAAGAGCUAUGUGUCCGUGAAAUGAGGAAAAUUAAAUGAUUUAACAAAUUAAAGAACAAAAAAAAAGAAUUGCAGACAAAAAUAAAAAACUCGAAAAAGUUAUAAUAAUUUUUUAAUUAAAUUGAAAUAAUUUAAAUUUAAAAUAAAUUUAAUUUAAUUAAAUUUAAAAAAGUUAUGUUUUAUCAUAAAAUGAAAAAAAAUUUAAAUCGAAACAAAUUAUUUAUAAUACGAAGAAAAAAAUUAAAAAAAUUAAAUAUAUGGUCAAAAUCCUUUUUUAUCUAUCCAUUUUGUAGGAUUUAGCUCAAAAGAAUAGAAGUUAGAAUUUUUUAAAGUAUGGAAGCUGUAAAUGGUAACGAUAAUUUUUUUUGUUUUUGCAGUUGUAGAUGUGAAGUUGAAACUUUGUGUUAGUUCAUUUAAAAAAAAAAAAAAAAACUGAGACAUAGUGGCUUAAUAAAUAUUUUAAUGUUGGGUACACGAUGUUGAAAGGACAAUGUUAAAUUAUUUAUGUGUCCAUGUAUCAGUUGUAAAAAAGGAAACAUAGAUGGGAUAAACUAAAAAAAGAAAGACAGAAUAUUGAAACAUUUUUUCUUGUUGCCAACCAGUUCCCAAACCGGUUAAGUUAUUUAAAAGUAAAAGAAGAUAUUAACUGUCUAAAAGAUAAAAAAUUACUUAUAAGUAAAAAAAAUCACUUCAAGUUAUUUAAAAUAAAAAACUUAUAAUUGUAAAAACUACUUAUAGGUAAAAAAAAAAUAUAUAUUAAUCCCUCGUUCUCUUAUAAUUGCAAAAGCUACUUAUAUAAAAAAAAAUUAAAAAAAAUUCUGAACUUAAAAUUUUUUUAGUAUAAAUAUUUAGAUAUAUUUAGUUUUUAAAAUUAAAUAUUAAUCAAAAGAUUAAACUAUCUAGAAUGUAAAAAGUUACGUAUAAGUAAAAAAAUCACUUCAAGUUAUUUAAAAGCAAUAAAAAAAAUUAUAAUUGUAAAAGUUACUUAUAGGUAAAAAAAUAUUAACUUCAACAUUUUUAGGUAAAUAUUUAGAUACAUUUAAUUUUUAAGUUAAAUAUUAAUAAAAAAAAUGUACUACAAAUAAAAGUAAAAAAAAAAAAAAAAGUGCAUAAACCUCCGUGUUUGCUAAAUGUUUGUGUUUUUUUUUUUUAAACUUAUGGUAAAAAAUAUUAAUUUCAACACUUUUAAGUAAAUAUUUAGAUACAUUUAAUUUUUUUAAAUUUAAUAUUAAUAAAAAAUGUACUACAAAUAAAAGUAAAAAAGAAAAAAAAAAGUGGAUAAACCUUUGUGCACGAGGUUAUAACCUCCGGAGGUUUUGUAAAUGUGGUUUUUUUUUUAGACUUAUGUUUUUGUGUUCAUUUUCAGGCUCAUUACGAAAUAUCAAACGAAAUCGAAAUAUUACAUUCUUAAUAUCAUUUUGAAGUACUCCCAGCAUAGUAUUGCAUGUCAUUAAUGGUGCGUGAAACGGCUAAUCGUAUCAAAUGUUACGGGACGUCAAAAUAGGCAUUUUCAAACUAUAUUUCGAAAUUUUCGAUAAUAAGCUAAUUUCAAAAAUUCAUUGACGAUUGUACGAUAGUCGAAUCGAUAAAUAUUUUACAUUCUCUUGAAACUCAUUUCAAAAACUAUAUCACAGACACAUCAAAUGAUUUAAAUGAAUAUCAAAAAUAGUUAAACGGACAUUAAAUGUAUGUGUUAAAAAAUGCGUAUAAAUCUGUUGACACACAAAAAGUUCAGCCCAAGUCGAAUAGCCCAAGGAAUGAAGCCCAAUUGGAAGAUCCUCAAAAUCGAAUAGCCCAAAAGAAUGACUUAAUCAGGCAAUGCAGGAUAAAAGCCCAAAUAGGGAAGCAUAUGAAUGCGGUAAUACCAUCGCCCAAGGUUGCAAGUCGCCCAAGAUUUGAGCGAAUGAAUUGCCAUGCAGUCGCCCAGAGCUGUGACCCUGCUCUCGUCCAAACAUUCGAGUCGCCCAACAUCUUAGCAAACAUAAGAUGUUAUGGUUACCCAAAAGUGCAGUUAAUAAAGCAGUUAUUGGGUAGUCCUAUCACGUUCCACGAUUCAAGGAAUUCAAUUGAAGACGGUUGAACGACAAAAGUAAUGGCAGCAGUUAGAGAAGGCAGUUUCAUGAAAAGUUGGCCACUACAAGGAAAGUGGGCAGUUAUAGAGCGAUCAAGCAGUUUUUAAGCGGUUGAUCACGAAGAGAUCAUCCAGGGAGUAUAAAAGGAAGAAAAGACAUAGAGCAAAAGACCCCGAAUCAAACACUCUCAAACGGAGAAUAUGUAACUUUAAAUUUCUUAGUUUAGAUUUAAACACUUCUUUUUCAGUAACCCGUGUGCUUGCGCCCCUUGGAGGCAUUCUGUUUUUAUUUUCCAAUUGUAAAGUUAUCGCCAAUAAAAAACACCCCUUUUUGGGACUCUGUCUCAAGAGGUUUGUCAUUUACACAAUCGUCUGAUCCCUUUUUAAUUGUUAGCGACUAACCUACGCAAAAUAAUUUGGCACGCCCAGUGGGACAGUGGUGUUUGGUGUUGAAGAUACAAAAGGUGAAACAAUAUGCCUCAGAGAUCCGAUAAGGAAGCAGCAAGUCAGGGAGGAGUCCAGUCUCUGAUCGAGCGCUAUGAGGAGCAGCAUAGCUCUCUACGAACAGAUGGACAGAAUCAGAGCAGUAACAGUCGUUACGAAUCAAUGGCAGAGUUGAGUCCUCGAACUAUGCAUGCAGUACUUGGAGAACUCACACAAGAUGUCGUUGAACAGGUAAAUCUUCUAAAUAUUCAUAAUAUGGAAAGAUUUACCCAGAAUAGGAAUGCACACUAUGACAACACGGCCAAACAACUGAAUACUUUGAAUGAAAUAAUGAAUAAGUUAGUAGGCCAAAAUUGUCAACCAGUUAUGCCUCUUGCAAACCAUUUUCAAACUAGGACAAUUGUGGGACAUAAUCCCCCAGUCCUAAAUCCAAGUCAAGGGGUAGAACCACAUUUCGGUCCCUCUACUUCAAACCAAGGAGAUGGUGUAAUGCCAAAUCAAAAUAAUGGUAGUGGUACGCCUAACUUGGGGGGUAAUCCAAAUGUAAGAGAUAAUGUCCUAAAUAACGGGCAGAAUACCCCACAUGUUAAUGAGGGAAUAAAUGUUCAUGCUAAUGGUAACAAUGACCCAAAUCAUGGUAAUUUUAUUCCUAAUCAAGGACCAAAUAUCAGGCCUCAAGCAAAUCAACUGGUCAACCAACCUGUAGGGAUUCCAUAUGACCCCAACGUCAUGUUGAGGAAUUAUAUUAUGAAAAUCGUACAGGACCAGAUGGCUUUUGAGAUACGUCCUGUCAUUAGGCCGACCUACACAAAGCCAUAUCCUGAUUGGAUAGACCAAGCAUAUCCAUGGUCUAGAGGGUAUAAAGUGCUAGAAUUCUCACUGUUUACCGGUUUAGGGGAGGUGUCUACUCUAGAACACAUAGGACGAUUCACACUGCAAAGUGGUGACGUAACUGAUUAUCAUAAAAUGAGAUUUUUCUCUAGUUCAUUAACAGGAGUAGCUUUCUCCUGGUUCAUCAAUUUGCCAGCGAAUUUUGUUCAAACAUGGCAACAAUUGGAACAAUUAUUCCACGCUCAGUUUUAUAAGACUGAGUCUGAAGUUACUUUGGCCGAUUUGGCGAACCUACGUCAAAUGCCAAACGAAUGGGCAGAAGGUUUCCUCCAAAGGUUCAAGACAGCAAAAAGUAAAUAUUUUGUACCUGUGUCCGAAAAAGAGUUUGUCAAAAUCGCUCAAGGUUGUUUGAGCUUUGAUUUAAAAAAGAAAUUCCAAGACAAGGAAUUUCCUGACCUUUUCCAAUUGAGCGCGAACAUGAUUAGGUAUGAACAAUUGAUAAGAGAAGAAGAGCAGAUAAAAUAUUCUAGCAAGGGGACUUAUUAUAGAGACCCAAAUUUUGAUGUUCAUACCAUUAAUAACGAGUCAUACGAUCAGACCGAAAUGUGUUUGGCCGAAUUAGUCAAAGGAGACACGUAUACUUGUCCUAUAAUGGCUAAACUUAGACCAUCGGGCAAGGAUGAGCCUAUGAAAGAUGAAAACGUAAAAGCUAAAAUGUUCUCAUUCGAUGUAACCAAAGCUGACCUUAUAUUUGAUAAAUUAUAUAAGGAUAAGCAGAUAAAGCUGAGCGAUAAGCAUAAAUUGCCAAACCCUGAAAAAAUUAAGAGUAAAAAAUAUUGUAAGUGGCAUAAUGCAUGGUCACAUUUGACUAACAAUUGCUUGAUUUCUCGCCAUGUGUUACAGGAUGCCAUUGAAUCAGGACGAAUUACGUUCAAUGAUAAGAAGAAGAUGACAGUGGAUGAAAAUCCUUUUCCACAGCCACUUGGAGUGAAUAUGGUGACGUCUGGUUUCAAAAACAAGUUGCCAAAAUUCAAAUUGGUUAUAGAUGAUGGAGAAGAAGACCCUGGACUACAUCCCAGUGCCUUCGAGCGUAUUAAAGGGAAGGAGCCAAAAAAGGAUGAAGACGUCUUGUGUGCAAGAUGUAAAAGAGAAGUGAGUGGGAAUACGGAGAAACCAGGGAUAUGGCAGCAUCCCCAUCGCCCUACUUUCUUUCCAAACACUCAGCCUGAUAGAGGGCGAAGUACAUCGUUCUAUAAGGGACCACCUUUUGAGAAGCAGUUCAUGCCAGUAAAUAAUGGGAGGACAUUCAGGCCGCAACCUCGCCGAUCAAAUGUAUGGCAUUCGUUUCAGUAUAAUGCAGAAAAUGCGAUACCUUUCAACGAGAUGACUAGAACCCAAUAGAGGCGUUUCUAACGAAAUUAUGGACGAAUGAUGAGGCAACAACAGGGAGUGCCACGUCCUAAGGCACAUAAACUACUCGAGGUAGCCAAUCAAAAUGUUCUCAAAGAUAGUGAAGAGACUGGUACAAAUGAAUCAAUGAAAGAGUUGCCAGAAACUUCUUUUGGGAGAUCGAAGUUUGAGCGAGAUAGAAGGGAUGGAGAAGAUCCAGAUCAACCCCUUACUAUUCAGUUCGGUACGUUACCUCCUGUUGUGGCUAAUAACUAUUUACUAGCCAAUGAGUUCAAGAAUAAAGAGAAAGAAGAAAAAGAAAGAGAGGAUAACGAAGGAGAAACAUGCGUGCUGGAAUAUGAAGAAGGCCAGACUUCUAGAGAGGCCUACAAUGGUGAAGAAGAUGAUGGUAUGACAGACAUUGAAGAGGAAAUCGACUUAGAAGCAAAAAGAAGAAGGAGAGGAGUAUCGUACAAUACUCUGUUGAAGCAACUACAUCGAGAAGGAGUUCGUGAAUUAGAUUUAUUGGGAGAACCAUCUGGGCGUUCUUUCGAUUUUUACGUGCUGUACGGGACGCCCAAAAGGAAGAAGAGAGUGCCUCGCUCUGAAAAGUAUGGAUCACCUUCAAGAAUAAUGCCUCCUCCUACAGGUUGGGUAACGGACGAGGAAGCAACAGAAAACAGUAAAAAGGAAAUUCAGAAGACAGAGGCUCAGUGCGAUAUGCUACACGUUGACUUAUCACAAAAAGAUAACUCGACAGAGAACAAGCAGGAAGUAGAAAUAGAAGCUGUUGAAAAUGUUAUUUUUAAACGGCCAGCCAUGAAAUUGACUAAACACUUGAGGCCGUUGUACGUUAAAGCUCUAAUUAACGGCAUACCUGUGGCAAAAGUGCUUGUCGAUAAUGGAGCAGCUAUAAACACCAUUCCAUCUAGGAUGAUGAGGAAAUUUGCAAAGACAGAAGGGGAUAUGAUUCCAACAGAAGUCAUCCUUAUAAGUUUCAAUGGAGGAGCAACUGCAGUUAAGGGAGUUAUGCCAUUGGACAUAACUAUAGGUACAACUACUAGGACCACAGUAUUCUUUGUAAUAAAUGGUCCUACUAGUUACAAUGUGUUAUUAGGAAGAGAUUGGAUACACGGAAGUCGUUGUAUACCCUCAUCGCUCCAUCAAUGCCUGGUUUUUUGGAAUAACAAGAGUGAAGCAGAGGUGGUGCAAGCCGAUCAUAGGCCUUUUGUAGUAGAAGCAAACUCAGUGGAAAGGUUCAUGUACGAAGGAAACUAUGGACCUGUUAGGGUAGUCCAAGAUGGGGAAGAAACUCAGAUUGUCGCUCAGAGUGACGAGCCAUUUUCAGUGGACGCACUCACUGAAAUGUUAAGUCAGAUGAGGCCAAAUAUAGUGGCCCUAGAAGAGCCAGUAAUUGGUAAAAGAAUAAUCAAGGAAUCCUGAAUGAGUUCGAAGCAACAAAAGCAAAUGGCGGAUAUUCAGGUCUUCAAAGCCAAAUUAAUGGCUUUCAAUAAAGAAUACAAGGACGAGACGAAAGAAGAGGCAGCUCUAAAAGCGUUGAAAGACAAAUUAGCAGUAUUCAAAUUGGAACAAAGUAUUGACCGAGAAGUCAAUAAGGUGGAUUUUUUAGAAGAAGAAGUGCUCACAAGGGAGUUGGACGAUGAAGUAAUGCGGAUCAUAAAGCCUGGAUACACUCAAGCACAAGACCCUCUGAUUAAAGUAAAUAUUGGCAAUGAAGGAGAAGAUCGUCCAACAUUCAUCAGUCAGAUGCUCGAUCAAGAGGUUAGUGAUAAAUUAGUCACUUUGUUAAAGGAGUAUAAAGAUUAUUUUGUUUGGGAAUAUGAACAAAUGUCUGGAUUAGAUAGAGACUUGGUGGAACAUAGAUUACCAACUAAGCCUAAUUUUAAACCUUAUAGGCAACCUCCUAGACGUUUUGCUCCUAAUGUACUCCCUGAGAUUAAGAAAGAGAUAGAGCGAUUAUUAAAAGCAGACUCUAUUAGAAUAGCCAGGUAUGUCGAAUGGUUGUCCAAUAUCGUGCCAGUACUAAAAAGGAAUGGUAAACUAAGGGUGUGCAUAGAUGAUAUAGUGGUCAAAUUCAUUAAAGAAGAUGACCAUUUCGAACAGUUAAGAUAUUCAUUUGAGCGAAUGAAGCAAUAUAAGCUAAAGUUGAAUCCCUUGAAAUGUGCAUUUGGCGUUAAUGUAGGGGAUUUUCUUGGUUUCUUGGUACACAAAAGAGGGAUUGAACUUGAUAAAAAUAAAGUAAAAGCCAUUUUAGAGGCCAAACCACCUAGCAACAAAAAAGAAUUGCAAAGGUUUCUAGGUCAAAUAAACUUUUUAAAACGCUUUAUUUCUAACUGUGCAGGUCGAAAUAAAGUCUUUUCGCCACUUUUAAAGUUGAAAAAUAAGGAGGAAUUCGUCUGGAAAGAAGAACAUCAAAAGGCUUUUGAAAGCUUGAAGACAUAUUUAUCAAGUCCACCAGUGUUGGUGUCACCAAUCCAAGGACGGCCAAUGAAAGUGUAUGUAUCGGCUAAAAAAGAAUCAAUAGCUGGAAUGGUCGCGCAAGAAGACCAAUUUGUUGAAAAGAGGGCGAUUUACUACUUAAGUAGACGGUUAACAAAAUGUGAAUGUAAUUACUCUGCUAUCGAAAAAUUAUGUCUUGCAUUGUAUUUUACAUGUACAAAAUUAAGGGCUUAUUUUCGGCCCGCAACCGUUUAUUUGAUUUUUAGAGUAAAUUUGAUUAAGUAUAUGUUUUCUCGCCCUAUUUUACACCAAAAGGUAGGCCUUUGGAUGUUAGCUUUAUCAGAAUUCGAAAUACAAUACAUACCCCAAAAGGCAGUCAAAAAUUAGGCUUUGGCUAACUUUCUAGCCGAUCAUCCAUGCCUUGACAUGCCUGAAGAAAUUGAAUUAGAAAUCAAUUCGUUCGAGCUAAAACCUUGGGUGUUGUAUUUCGAUGGGUCAAAAACCUCUAAAGGUGCAGGAGUAGGAGUAGCAUUGAUAAAUCCUUUGGGGAUUUGCUACAAGUUCGCAUUCACUUUGGAUAGGAUGUGCACCAACAAUCAGGCCGAAUAUGAAGCCUUAAUCGUGGGCCUAGAACUAAUGAUAGAUAUGGGGGUAAAAAAUGUAAACAUUAGAGGCGAUUCUCAAUUGGUAAUUUACCAACUGAUUGGUGAUUUUAAAUGCCAAAGUGAUUCCAUCAUGAGUCAAUAGGAAAUCGCCCAAGAGUUAUUAGAAGAAUUCGACCAAGUAGAACUUCAAUGCGUUAAUAGGAUAUACAAUGACAUAGCAAAUGAGUUGGCCCAGAUGGCCUCAGGGUACUCAAAGGUUUUAAAUUGGAAGCUACUUGUGAGUAUGGAACAAUAUUGCCCGUGAUCCAAAGAAGGGCGAGAAAGAUUGAAUUUCAUUGUAUACAAGAUGGAGAUGCGAUGGAUUGGAGGGCAGAAAUUAAAGAGUUCCUUAAAGAACCUAAUGAAAGAGAUAGUAGAAAAAUGAAGUUGCGUUUGCUAAACUAUGCACUGAUAGAUGAAGAGUUGUUCAAGAAACGCUCUGAUGGUAUACUGCUAAAAUGUGUAAGUUUGCAAGAAGCCAGGACGAUCAUGGCUGAAGUGCAUGAAGGGAUAUGUGGAGUUCAUCAAGCUGGCCAAAGGAUGAGAUAGUUAAUUAUUAGGAGUGGAUAUUUUUGGCCAAAGAUGGGAGAAUUAUGCAUUCAGUAUGCAAAGAGUUGUUUAGCAUGCCAAAAGCAUGGUCCAAUACAAAAGGCGCCAGCACAAGAGAUGACACAUAUUAUUAAACCUUGGCCGUUCAAGGGUUGGGCGAUAGACCUAAUAGGGAAGAUUUAUCUCCCAUCAUCCAAGCAACAUACUUUUGUUAUAGUUGCAACCGAUUAUUUCACUAAAUGGGCAGAGGCGGUACCUUUAAAGGAGAUCACCCAGAAGAAUGUCAUAGAAUUUAUCCGUGAUCACAUCAUUUAUAGAUUUAGAAUUCCACAAACUUUGAUGGUAGAUCACAGGACAUCUUUAAAUGAGGAUCAAGUGAAUAAAUUCUUGAGCGAGUUUGGAGUUAAAUUAGUAAACUCCACACCAUAUUAUGCUCAAUCCAACGGGCAAGCAGAAUCUUCUAAUAAGAUUCUAAAAAAUAUCAUAAGGAAAAUGAUAGAUGAAAAUGUCAGAAAUUGAUACGAAUGUCUGAACAAAACCUUAUGGGCUUAUAGGACGUCGCCUCGGUCAAGUACCAAAAUUACUCCUUUCCAACUUACUUAUGGACAGGAGGCCGUUUUGCCUAUGGAAAUCAACGUGCAAUCGAUCAGAGUGUGUUUGCAACAUAAGUUAAGUGAUGAUGAGUAUACCGAAUCACUAGUUCAAAACUUAUUAGAGUUGGACGAAUUAAAGUUAGACGUCCUAGAUAGAUUGCAGUUCAAAAACAAAGAAUAGCUAAAUUUUAUAAUAAAAAAGGUAUAGUCAAGUCGUUCAGUUUGGGCGAACUGGUUUGGAAACAGUACUCCUUUUGGAUAGCAAAGAUCCAAAGUAUGGCAAAUGGUCUCCCAAUUGGGAAGGACCAUAUAAAGUAAAUAAUGUAUUGUCUAAUGGAGCCUAUCAUUUGGAAGAUUUAGACGGCACCAAGCACAUGAGUUCAUUAAUGACAAAUAUUUGAAAAAGUAUGUUCCUUACUUAUGGGAAAGUGAACAAAUAAAAGCGCAACCAAAUCGCAUUGAACGAUCGUAGAGUAAAAAGGGUCAGAGUGAAAUACGUUCAAAUAAAUUCCUUUAUUAUCAAAUAUUCAUUACAAAGCUGCGAAAUACAAGAUGCUAAAUGCUCUAUAAACUACGAUUAAGAGCAGAUUAAUCUCCCGAUCGAUCACCGGGUAAGAGGGGGUACUGGCCUUGAUCGCUAUCCUGAUCGCACUGCUGCAAAGGCAAGCAGAGAGACCAAGAAGCAUUCUCAGCAAGCAGAAAGGAAGAUGAAGCGCCCUCACAUCGCCUUCCUAAAUGCAUCGCUGCAACGACGGGUAAGGAGGCUGAGAAGCACUCUCAGCAAGCAAGGUGGCCUGCAAGCACCCCAAAAAUUGUCUUCCAUCAUUGAACUCCUUGUAGGAACGGAGACGAUGGAAAGAACUUUGCUACUGGCCAAAUAAUAUUUCCUAUAUCUCCCAUACCAAAGGUGACAUCAAGAAAGAUGGCAAAGUGGGUGGAUCAGAUGAUCCAUUUUCAUGGAAAAUGAAAGUUUUGGAUUGAUUGUCAAAAAUGCCAAGCAAUAGCAGCAAAUUGAUUUUUUUUUUUUUAAGAAGAAAAUAGAAAUGAAGAUGGAAAGUAUGAAGUAUAUGUGCAUUUAUAGGGAGGUGAAGGUGAAAAGACAGAAUAUGAUGUGCAUUUAUAAGGGGGUGAAGGUGAAAAUACAGAAUAUGAGCAGCCAUAUUCGUGUCUAGUAAAUGGGAUUAAGUGGCCCAAAGUCGGGCAGAAAUAUCAAGAAAAAAUGUGCAAAAAAUUUUAGUAUAAAGCAGUUAAAUGCCUGAGUUAUUGACGAUUAAAAAACGAACGUCAAUAAAUACACAAGAGGCUAAAAUAGUUAUUCAUUAACAAUGAUGGCUGUUGUUAUAUCAGUACAAGGUUACAAAGGGAAAGUCAAUACGAAAUUACAAAAAGAAAAAGUUAAGGCAUUAUAUGUCUUAAUUACAAUUCGCCCCAUACCAAACGAAUUCUUUCCCUAAGUCUCCCCCAGUCCUCACUCUGUCGAGAAGAAGGGAUGUUCAAUUCAGCCACAACAUCAUCAUCAACUUCCAACUUCUUGUACUGCUCGACCAAAGACUUAGUUCGCUCAAUUCCUUGGGAGGCAUUACGCUUUUUAGCAGCCAUUCUCGCCUUGCAGUCGUCCAUCUUGGCUUGAAGCUCCUUCAUCUGAGCAGCCAAACUAGUCAUCAAAGAGUCUUCAAUCAUAACUUCGGAAGAGAUUUCUUUCAACUCGUUCUCAGCUUUGUUGAUCUCCAGAAGCAAAGACUAUUUUUCAAAUACGGCGCGAAGAUAUUGAGUACUUUUGGCCUUCAGUUCAACAUUAUUGGCCAGCAAGGAGAGGACCUCGGAAUGGACAACUUUCAACGUCAUUUUAAAAUUAGCAGAAAGAUUGAGCGACGGAAGUUUCAGUGCUUGCUCCAAUUUCGCAUUCAAAUGCUCAAGCUUAUCCUUAUGCCUGGCAGCACUAGCCUUACCGAUAUCCAUAUCCAUGAAGGACACAUACUCAAAUAUCAACUGUUUGAGGAAUUUCAUAUCGUCCUCUGAAGAAGCAGAAGGACAACUGGCUGAAGCAGGGCGAGAUGUUUUGACUUGCCCCCAGAAAGUGAACAAGUCUUGAAUGGAACGCACAAUUUUAUCAGCAGCCUGCAAAGAAAAUCGCCAAUAUUGAAGGUUUCCACUACACUAAAUAAAGUGGAGGUAAAGGUGAAGCAAAGAUUGCCUCAUCAGCAAUCUUGGAAGAUGGCAUAUCCCCAGUCAAAUCUGCCACCUGUGGCUCCACCAUUCGUGAGGACUUCCCCUUGUCUAAGCGAGAAGACCUUGCCGCAACGGGCAAACUCAUGGGAACAUCUGCAGAACUCAAAAGACAACAAAUCAACACCAAUAGCACAAGCAAAGGUAAAGCAUCAAAAAACGAAUUAUCUUCUGCUUCGACGUUUGGGGGGUCAACGCCCUGGGAAGAAGGUGGCUCGUCCAUUGGUUGUGAUGAAGAUUCUGGGACUGAAGAUUUCUCUUUAAGCGUAGUCCCUUCAUCAGCUGGUUUGGACGAAGCAGUCCCAGCAGAGGAUGAUGGAGUAGGAGCUGCCAACACCAAAGCUUUCAAGGGUGAAGUCAAACUUUUCUAAGAGAUCCAAAUAAACUAUCAGCACAUGGAAAAGUCUCAAGUAUGGAAAGGUAUGCUUAUGAGUAAACCAAUUUAAUUACCUUCCUCCUGACGAUGAGAGGGGUAUCAUCAUCAUCAGCAUCAUCCUCUAAAAUGGGAGACGCUGAGGCUGGCCGCUUGCGGCUUGGGGCACUUUUAGCUGCAGUGGGCUUGGCAGGAAGAGAAGUCGAUGGACGGACAGAUUGUUUAGCACGAGCAGAGGAAGAAGGACUCCUAGUGGACACAGGAGUGACCAAAACAAGAGAGGUGGAAGAAAUGUUUGGCUGGCCUAGUGAAUGGAAAGCACGAUUGGCAUCAGUCGCAAACAAUCUGCGCUUCACUGACGGCCAGAGUCAUUCAAAAAGGGGAUGGAUGGCACGACUAGGAUUGAAGGGGGCUAAUGAAAAGCUGCUCGUCAAAAAAAGAUUGCGAGCAUUUAUAGCCUCUACCUCUACCUUAUUAAUGGUGUGGAAGCGGUCUAUCAAAUUUCUUGAAUAGCAAGGGGGAACGGGCCAAGUUUGGCCAAAACCAAGUUGGCGAGCAAAAAAUUGGGGAGCAUAUAUCUCUACCCAAGCCUUAGCAUUGGUCCCAGUCAAAAUAUCAUGAAACAACUCCCUCCCGGUCAAAAACUGAAUCCAAACAAACAAGAAAGUGUUCGCACUAUCCGAAGUGGAUGGAGGUUGCACAUAAUCUGGAGUUAAAAAGGAAGGAAAAGGAAAGAAGGAAGGGAUUGAAUCCAAAGUAUAAAAAAAUGAAAAAAUGUCCCUUCUGGACAUAUUUACAGGAGUCAGGGGCUCAAUGGCUAGCCCAUAGCAACUAGCAGAAGGACUAGAAAAAGAUGGAGUACCAAGCGAUGGAAAAUAGACUCCCAACCACAUUUGAGUGAACCAAAGAGGCCCACUGCCAGUGGGAGAUGCACCAUUCUUCAAUUGGGAUUGAAGAGAAGCCAUGCCUCUAUAAAGGGCGGCUAAAAAGAAAGAACACAAAUUCAGAGGCCUACCACGUGCCAAUUCGUGCAUUAUGUGUAAAUAGCUCAUGGAGGGCUUUAUGCUUGGCACACACAAAAUGUAUUUACAAAGCCAACUCAGAAGAAAGGCCACUCGCUCAGUAUGGGAAGGCUCAGCGCUCGAGUAGUUAUGAAAGGUUUGCAGGCUUGAAUAAGAUUCGAUGAGGCCUCUAUCAAAUUUUGGGGCGACACCAGAAAUCAAAAUACCAGGAAAAAUGGUAUCGCCCAAAGGUGGAAGGUUUACUAGAGCCCCAACAUCCCUUAAGGUAAUGGACAUGGGACCAAGAGGAAAAACAAAAGUAUUAUACUCAGAAGACCAAAAACUUAAAGCGAUUAGAAAAAGUACUGGGUCAAAAACAGGGGGUUGAAGAGAGAUUUCUAACAAAUCAGAAAUCCUAGCAUUAUCAAAAAUUGCCUUAGUAGGACCAUGGUCCACAAGGCGAUCAUGCCAUUUACGAAAAAUGACAUCAGAUUUAGGCCAAGUGCAAAUACCUCUUUCGCGAAGUGGCCCCAACGGCAAAGAAUUUAGAAAUGGAGGGCCCUGAGUACAAGGGAACAGCUGACGACCGCCGCUUGUUCGAUGGCCUCGGCAUUGUUGAAUAAAAGACCUAGAUAGAACUCAUUGAGUUCGACAUUGGCCGGUGCAAGGAAGUUCGGAGUUAUAUAUGGCCGAAUAAGGAGUUUCUGAAAGUCUUCGAAACUGAAGGAGUCACCAGACUGGGAUUGUGAAGCAGCCAUUAGGGACGAAAUAGAGUUUUUCAGAGUUACGUAGCAGAGAAGCAAGAAGAUGAACAGUAAUAUUGAGAGAGAGGCGCGAAAAAAUGAGGCGUGAUUUAGUGGUGCAAUGAAAUAGCGUAUUUGGGGGGUUAUAAGGGUUUGCAAACGUCGCACCUUUUCAGGUUAUGGAAGAAAAUAAUGAUUGAAAUUCUUGGGAAUUUCAAAUGUUGUUGGGAAACACAAAGUGAAUAUGGCAAAAAUUAAUAAUUGGUAUUAAUUCUGCCAUAUUGGGGGGUAAUUGUUGACACACAAAAAGUUCAGCCCAAGUCGAAUAGCCCAAGGAAUGAAGCCCAAUUGGAAGAUCCUCAAAAUCAAAUAGCCCAAAAGAAUGACUUAAUCAGGCAAUGCAGGAUAAAGGCCCAAAUAGGGAAGCAUAUGAAUGCGGUAAUACCAUCGCCCAAGGUUGCAAGUCGCCCAAGAUUUGAGCGAAUGAAUUGCCAUGCAGUCGCCCAGAGCUGUGACCCUGCUCUCGUCCAAACAUUCGAGUCGCCCAGCAUCUUAGCAAACAUAAGAUGUUAUGGUUACCCAAAAGUGCAGUUAAUAAAGCAGUUAUUGGGUAGUUCUAUCACGUUCUACGAUUCAAGGAAUUCAAUUGAAGACAGUUGAACGACAAAAGUAAUGGUAGCAGUUAGAGAAGGCAGUCUCAUGACAAGUUGGCCACUACAAGGAAAGUUGGCAGUUAUAGAGCGAUCAAGCAGUUUUUAAGCGGUUGAUCACGAAGAGAUCAUCCAGGGAGUAUAAAAGGAAGAAAAGACAUAGAGCAAAAGACCCUGAAUCAAACACUCUCAAACAGAGAAUAUGUAAUUUUAAAUUUCUUAAUUUAGAUUUAAACACUUCUUUUUUAGUAACUCGUGUGCUUGCGCCCCUUGGAGGCAUUUUGUUUUUAUUUUCCAAUUGUAAAGUCAUCACCAAUAAAAAAUACCCCUUUUUGAGACUUUCUCUCAAGAGGUUUGCCCCUUACAUAAUCGUCCGAUCCCUUUUUAAUUGUUAGCGACUAACCCGCGCGAAACAAAUUGUUUUUCUUAAAAGAAAAAUCAAUUAUUUUAUUACUAUUUAUAAUUUUUUCGCAAUAAUUUUCUCAAUACAUCAUUUUGCUCAAAAAAAUUAUAUGAUAUGACAUAAAUUUUUUUCUCCAUGCACGGAGUGAAUAUGUUUUUUUUUUUUUUUUACAUUUUAUUUACAAUAAUUUUGUUUAUUAAUAUAAUUUUAAAAAUUUAAAUAUUUAAGAUAUGGUUGAUAAUUAAUAGCAUGAGAAUUAGGAGAAAGAGCAAAGUGUGUCAGAUUCAAAGUAAGGGAGAAAUAUUGUAGUGGACAAUGGCGUGUGACAAAAUUCCUACAGUAUUUUUGAAUAGAAUUUUUUCUGUUGCCAAACCAGUUCUCAAACCGGUUAAAUUAUUUAAAAGUAAAAGAAGAGAUUACACUAUCUAAAAGAUAAAAAAAUUACUUAUAAGUAAAGAAACCACUUCAAGUUAUUUAAAAUAAAAAAACUUAUAAUUGUAAAAGCUACUUAUAGGUAAAAAAAAUAUUAAUCCCUCAUUCUCUUAUAAUUGCAAAAGCUACUUAUAUAAGAAAAAAUGUGAACUUAAAAUUUUUUUAGAAUAAAUAUUUAGAUAUAUUUAGUUUUUAAAAUUAAAUAUUAAUAAAAAGAUUAACUAUCUAGAACGUAAAAAGUUACUUAUAAGUAAUAAAAUCACUUCAAGUUAUUUAAAAGUAAUAAAAAAAUUAUAAUUUUAAAAGUUACUUAAAGGUAAAAAAUAUUAAUUUCAACAUUUUUAAUUAAAUAUUUAGAUACAUUUAAAUUAAAUAUUAAUAAAAAAAUGUACUACAAAUAAAAGUAAAAAAAAUGCAUAUUGGUGCGGGGACUCCCCGCACGCAUGAACCUUCGUGCACGGAGGUUAUAACCUCCAUGCACGGAGGUUUGCUAAAUGUGUUUUUUUUUUUAAUUUAUGUUUUUGUGUUCAAUUUCAGGUUCAUUACGGGAUAUCAAACGAAGUCGAAAUAUUAUAUUCUUAAUAUCAUUUUUAAAUACUCGCGGCAUAGUAUUGCACGUCGUUAACGGUGUGGAAAACGACUAAUCGUAGCAAAUGUUACGGGACGUUAAAAUAGGCAUUUUCAAACUAUAUUUCGAAAUUUUUGAUAAUAAGCUAACUUUAAAAAUUCAUUGACAAUUGUAUGAUAGUCGAAUCGAUAAAUGUUUUACAUUCUCUCGAAACUCAUUUCAAGAACUAUAUCAUAGAUACAUCGAAUGAUCUAAAUGAAUAUCGAAAAUAGUUAAACGAACAUUAAACAUAUGUGUUUAAAAUGCGUAUAAGUCGUUUUUCUUAAAAAAAAAAAAUCAAUUAUUUUAUUACUAUUUCUUAUUUUUUCACAACAAUUUUCUCAAUAAAUCAUUUUGUCAAGAAAAAUUAUAAUGUAUGACGUAAAUUUUUUUCUCCAUGCACGGAGUGAAUAUGUUUUUUUUUUUUUUUACAUUUUAUUUACAAUAAUUUUGUUUAUUAAUAUAAUUUUAAAAAUUUAAAUAUAAGAUAUGGUUGAUAGUUAAUAGCGUGAGAAUUAAGAGAAAGAGUAUGGUAUGUCAGAUUCAAAGUAAGGGAGAAAUAUUGCAGUGGACAAUGGUGUGUGACAAAAUUCUUAUAUUAUUUUUGAAUAUAAUUUUUCCUAUUGUCAAACCAGUUCCCAAACUGGUUAACUUAUUUAAAAGUAAAAGAAGAUAUUACACUAUCUAAAAAAUAAAAAAUUACUUAUAAGUAAACAAAAUACUUCAAGUUAUUUAAAAUAAAAAACUUAUAAUUGUAAAAGCUACUUAUAGGUAAAAAAAAUAUAUUAAUCCUUCAUUCUCUUAUAAUUGCAAAAACUACUUAUAUAAAAAGAAAUGUGAACUUAAAAUUUUUUUAGUAUAAAUAUUUAGAUAUAUUUAGUUUUUAAAAUUAAAUAUUAAUAAAAAAAUCAAACUAUCUAGAACGUAAAAAUUUACUUAUAAGUAAACAAAUCACUUCAAAUUAUUUAAAAGUAAAAAGAAAUUAUAAUUGUAAAAGUUAUAGGUAAAAAAUAUUAACUUCAACAUUUUUAAGUAAUUAUUUAGAUAUAUUUAAUUUUUUUAAAUUAAAUAUUAAUAAAAAAAUGUAUUACAAAUAAAAGAAAAAAAAUUGUAUAAAAAAAUUGCACGGAGGUUUAUGCAAAUUAUUAUUAAAUUUUUUUUUCAAGCUUAUGUUUUUGUGUUCAUUUUCAGGUUCAUUGCGGGAUAUCAAACGAAGUUGAAAUAGUACAUUCUUAAUAUCAUUUUGAAGUACUCGCGGUAUAGUAUUGCACGUCAUUAACGGUAUGUGAAAUGGCUAAUCGUAGCAAAUGUUACAGGAUGUUAGAAUAGGCAUUUUCAAACUAUAUUUCGAAAUUUUUGAUAAUAAGCUAACUUUAAAAAUUCAUUGACGAUUGUACGAUAGUCGAAUCGAUAAAUGUUUUACAUUCUCUCGAAACUCAUUUCAAGAACUAUAUCAUAGACACAUCGAAUGAUCUAAAUGAAUAUCGAAAAUAGUUAAAUGGACAUUAAACGUAUGUGUUAAAAAAUGCGUAUAAAUCGUUUUUCUUAAAAAAAAAUCAAUUAUUUUAUUACUAUUUCUUAUUUUUUCGCAACAAUUUUCUCAAUACAUCAUUUUGCUUAACAAAAAUUAUGUGAUAUGACGUAAAAAAAAUUUCACCAUGCACAGAGUGAAUAUAUAUAUAUAUUUUACAUUUUAUUUACAAUAAUUUUGUUUAUUAAUAUAAUUUUAAAAUUUUAAAUAUAUAAGAUAUGGUUGAUAGUUAAUAGAGUGAGAAUUAUGAGAAAGAGUCCUACAGUAUUGUUGAAUAGAAUUUUUACUGUUGCCAAAUCAGUUCCCAAACCGAUUAAGUGUGAAAACGAGUGUGACAAAAAUGAAUAGUAAACCCUCAUUCUCUCUUUUAUGGUAGUGUAGAUUUAAGAAUGAAAUUAAGCAAGGGAUUAACUUUAUGCAUGAUGUUCAGUGUAAUGAAAUUUAUUCUUUUAGUUGUAUACUGAUUUGAGAAUCAUUAGCAAUGCACUUCAGGAAAAUUACAUUUUUCGGAGAAAUUAUUUUUUCUAUCCAAGCUAGAAUUUAGAGAGAAACGCAUCCAAACUUCUUUUUUAUACGUUUCUGGCUUUUUUUUUUCUUUUUUUUUUUCCCCUAUUGCGUUCUCUUACAGUUGAGAUUCCUUAUUAUUAUUAUUAUUAUUAUUAUUAUUAUUAUUAUUAUUAUUACUACUACUACAUACGUUCUUAAGUUUCAAUGGCUAUGUGAAAUCAAUUUUUGAACUGUUGUCUUUGGUUUGGUUGAGUUGUGUGCUAAAGAUUGGUUAAUGGGUAACAUUGAGCAGACAAUAGAUAUUGAACUUCGUGUUUAGGUUCAACUCUUUCAUGCCUCUUUAAAUUUUAUUGUGAUUGAAUGCAGUCUCUGCGGCGAUUUUUGGAAUUGUGUAUAAGUCCUAAAAGUUUCAAUAAUGACUUGGUUUUACUUUUCUCAUCUAUUGGAGUGUAAGCUAUAACUUACUAUUUGCUUUCAUGAUAUGCAUUAGGAUUUAAGAAUUUUGACCCUGUAAUGUGACCCACACUAAAAAUUUUGUUAGAGAAGCACUGAAUCCUUGGCUAGCCCAAAGACUCAAUAAACUGUAUAUAAUUAGGCAUUUCCUUUCUUCUUGUUUCCUCAGUUGUAACAAUAAAAGCUAUGGCAUUGAGCCAUCUAUACAACAGAGAAACCUGGCUACUGCUUCUUCAUUAACUCCUAGACAGCUGCUCCUCAACAUUUCAACCAAUUCACAAGAUACAAAUGUGAACGUAACAGGGAAAAUGAUAGUAUAAACUAUCAUAACUUAAUGUUUAGCAGUAAUUAAGCUAGAAAAAUUUCUUUCCUCUUAAUAAGCAAUUCUGUAAGUUACUUUAUGGCACACCAAAAACAAUGAACCGGUUACAUCUAACAGAAUUAGUGAACCCCCAGCAUAAAAAGCAAAAAGAAAAAGAAAAGCCGAGUCCAAAAUUUUAAGUUACUGGAAGUUCAUUGUUGACUUGCUUUGCUGUCACUUUUCAAUAUCACUCUUCAAUUAGUUGACGGGAUUCAAUGCUCAAAGGUUCAACAAACAAUUCAACACAAACAUGGAAGUGAAAAACCAUUCCUUAUAACUGAAAAUUUGAAACCAAAAUUAAGAUUUGCUGGACAUAUUUUUUCUCCACCUACAAUGCGAAACAACAGUAGGUCAUAUGAUGGUUUGAGCACAAUGGGAAUAUAUGUGAACACAUAGAAGCUUGUUAUUCACCACCGCUUAGUCAGUGACAAAGGCUAAAUUACUUAGGUCAUAUGAUGGUUUGAACCAUUCUUUAUAUGACUACUUAUUAACAAACUCGUGAAUGGUGUUGAUAAUGACCACUUCAUGCUCAACAUAAAUGAAUUGGAUAAAUUUUUAUAAUCAUCAUAGUAAUGUGUGGAAUCAGGAAUUGUUACCUUGAAAAAAUAUGUAUCUUGUCUAACCUGUGCACCAAAUAUAUCCUAAAUGUUUGGCUCUAUUGGGAAAUUAGAAAUUAUAAACUAACAAAUAUAACUACGAUAAAAAAAAGGUUUAUCUUGAAAUAUGUCUAAAUACUUAUCAAUUAAUUCAACAUCUUUAAGUCCAAAUACAUGGUACAUACGCACAAGGAGGACAUUAAAUAGACAAGAUUGUUGCUCCAAUGAGAGGUACAACAAUUGUAUGAACUUUGAUGAACAAGUUGCACAUAGAAAUUACGUGCGAGGAGACAAGUUGACAAAGUUGCUAAAAGGUGUUUUUGGUUUCAUGAGAAUUGAUGAAAGUUUGCUUAUUUCUCCAAGCCCAAAAUAUUUCACAUGUGCUCUAACAUUUUGGAAUAAAAUAGAGCCAAUUUAUCUGUGAAUUUGAGAUGGCUGAAGGUGGUUUAUACCAUCAAUCAUCAUCAUAAUCUAUGCAACUAAAUAUGUCAUGUUAAUGGUAAAAAUUUUUGUUGUCCGUAUUUUGAAUCAUUAAUAAUGAAAAGUUAUACUCUCAUGUUUAUUUUGAUCUCAUUUUUUUUGAAGGAAAAAUUCGAGUUUGAAUUGAACCAGCCAAUCAAAGAUGCUAUUGACCGUUCAUGAACAAGAAGUGGAAGGAUUGUCGUUGUAGAUUGCAUAAAAAAUUUGAUAACAUGGGUGGCAAUGGAGAUAUUAGACUUGCAAAAAGAAACAAGCCUACAUCUAUAGUAAAGCAAAGUGAUUGGGAUUUCCUAUGUGAUUAUUUUGCCAGUGAUGAGAUGAAGGUUAGUACUAUUCAAUGAUACUAUUUUAGGUACAUAUUCUUAAUGGAAUCGAUGCCAUACUUGGAACCCUUCUCAUGAGUGUGGAAAAAUAAUGAUAUUCAUAUAUUACUUGAGUUAAGUCUAGUUUUGUAUAUUGGUUUGGCUACAUUGAUCAACAGACUAAAUUUAAAGAAGACAAGAUUGGAAAAUUGUGGUACUUGUGCAGAGAAGGCUGCUUUACAGAAUGAGGUUGAAAUCUUCGUUCACAAUUGAAAUCUAUGCAGACAUUCUUAAGU
rnacentral:lncRNA from 1 species